CCUGUGCUCCACCUGUCCAUGUGCCCUCCUACGUGAGACGUGUUUUGCAGUUCUUACUGACGUCUGAGUAUUUUUACCCGCACUGCUGCUGAGAAGUUAGUCAGUUACAUUAUUUUAGGUGUGUUUGUAUUUUCAGCAGAUAUCACAGGAAACUGUAUCCUAUUAAACUCGUUCACUACAGCGGCGUCACCAGCGCAGUAAAUAUCUUUGGUGCGGUCGGUAGAUAACAAAUGAACUUUAGAGAUGGAUAAUGUAGUAAACACAUUAGCAGGUUAUCUCAUGUUAACACCUAAUUGGGCUGUUAACGACACAACCGAGGAGAUGGGCCAAAUUAAUCUAUAAAUAGGCGAUAGGAUGCAUUUUUGGUUGACCACUCCACAUUCUCGUUAGGAUGGCCUAUUUGGAGUUACCAUGUUAGUGUGAUGGUUGGGCCAUUUACUUCUGCAGGACUGUGGAGACAGCAGCUCACUACUGCAGCAGUCUAAUUGCCUGGGAGCUUCUCAGCAGGAGUGUGGCAGGCCUCUGGCAUUCCCUCUUCUGGCAAAGACUCUGUGCCACUACUGCUGCAGUGCCAUCCCACCUUGCCCAGCAUCCACACCAGGGGACAUAACCUAGAAGGAUCCCCCUUGAUGGGCACUCCCCACAAGGCCUCUUUGGAAACGGAUGGGAAACCCCGGGGAAGCAGCAGAAAGCUCGCCACUGCUCUACAGGAAAUCUAAAAUCUAGACAGACUUUUUCUCUCUAGCUGCAGGCUAUGAUCUUUGCAAGAGGACCAA